ACCCGGUUAGCUCAUCCGGCCAGCGCGCCGUCCUUAUAGCAGAUCAGCACCGUACUAUCGGUCAGGCGGAGGUAGCCAGUUCGAGUCUGGCACUGGGUA